rnacentral:rRNA from 1 species
UACGGAGGGUGCGAGCGUUGUCCGGAAUCACUGGGCGUAAAGGGCGCGUAGGCGGCCUGAUAAGUAGGGGGUGAAAUCCUGAGGCUUAACCUCAGAGCUGCCUUCUAAACUGUCAGGCUCGAGCACAGUAGAGGCAGGUGGAAUUCCCGGUGUAGCGGUGGAAUGCGUAGAGAUCGGGAAGAACAUCAGUGGCGAAGGCGGCCUGCUGGGCUGUUGCUGACGCUGAGGCGCGACAGCGUGGGGAGCAAACAGG